GUGGAUAUUUGACAAUGUCUUGCUCUUGGUCUUUGUAUUUUCUGCCUAGAUUGAAGUCUACAAACGACUGCAAAAGAGAAUCCACAAUGUUCGAUCACCGAAGAAAAGCCAGGGUGGCACUCCUGCAAGGGGGGAGAGAAAACGAAAACUGAAAUAUACGGAUGCCGAUGACACUGAUGAUUCCACCACAUCUACCAUUCUCUAUACGGCAAGCCCCAGCAGCACCCCUAGCACCCCUGAGGUCCACACUCCGCCCUCCACUCUCCCUGAGGUCCACACCCCAUCAACAAGCACUCCAGUGAAAUAUGCAGCUGUUGGUAAGUGUAUUGGAUUUCACAUUUUCAUUUAGCCUUACACGCAAAAUUAUAUUUACUCUAUUUCAGAUUAGUAAAACCAGACCCUCUCGAAAAGAAUGGGGAAACGUGACUAAUAGACUUAUAGAUAAUUAUCAGUUGCGAGAAGUUGAUCAUACUAAUGUGUUUAUUGUGAGUCAAAAUAAAGCUUUUAGAGCCACUUUUCUCAUGGCUUAUUUUGACACUGCACAGAUACAGUACUUCCGUAACGGCACAAGAAGAACAGUGCAGCAUGCAAUAUGUUUGGAAUGCAUAAUGAUUCGUCUGUUGUCAGCAGAACAGUCGGGAUAACGGCCAUACUGCUGUUACGAACUGUCCUCAAUUAUUUAUGUCUUCAGCGCUCUGUCUCCUCCUAUACAAAUUGUCUCAUGAUGGCUAUGGUUUAUAAAAGGGGGACUCUGUUGGUAGGUUGCCCCAAUGGGUUAUCUUUCUAGCCUACCGUGCAAGAAACACCGAACAAAAACCGAUACGUUUCAGUUCUGACAAGUCAUUGAUUGAGAUUGAGAUUAAAAAUGUAAUGAUGUGAUGUUUUUAUCCCUAUUUAAACUUAGGACACGACAGUAGGAUGUCUCAGGCUAGGCAUUACAGACAUCUCCAAGAGAUGUGCCGGAAGAAUAAGCAAAACCAAGACGAUGUCUCACAGCUCCUUGAACUUGAAUUUGAGGGAAGAAGGCAGUUCAUCGAUUCGGAGACCCUCAAGGAAGCCGACAGACCUGGCAAAAUCCUUGAGGCCUACUCGUGCUUCAAGAACAUAGACCAUGUUCUUGAGGAGCUGAGACGAAUAGUGGCGAAGGACAACGUGCAUUAUGUGAAAGAGCUGAAGGAGCGCUGGGCAGACUACAGAACCAUACUCUCCUUUUAUGGUGUCUAUAAGAAGGUCCUGAAGCCACCGAUGGGACUACCUGCUGGUAAGCAAGCCAUUGACCUGAUCAUCUCCCUGCCAGAUAUGUUCCCUUCUGGUUACCCCGCACCAAAGAAGUUGAAAUCUCCAUCAGAGGCACUCAUUCAUGUUCUGCGGGUGAACCAACUUAAUUACAUAACCUUAUGCAAGAUAAAAUAUUUAUGUAGCCUAUGUAUCCAUCCUUAUUAUCAUUUAACAUUUGACAGGUUUGAGCCUCACUCUGACUUCACCAUUAAAGUGUCCUUGAGCAUUUGAGCAUAAAGUCUUGCUUUAUCUUUAGCUUUAUCUUUGGGCAGCCAUGGUGUAAUGGUUAGGGCGUUGGACGGUAGAUCACAGAGUUGCCGGUUCAAUCCCCAUCCUUACUAGUCUCUUCCUCCCUCCAUGGCUGAGGUGCCCUUGAGCAAGGCACCAAUCCCCACAUUGCUCCAGGGACUGUAACCAAUACCCUGUAAAUAGGCCUAACUGUAAGUCGUACUGUAACUGUACUGUAACUGCAAGUUGGAUAGAAAAGCGUCAGCUAAGUGUAAUGUAAUCUUGUGUUGAUGUUCAGCACACAGAGGCCCCAGAAAUGUAUCUGAGAAGACGGCCACUAGCCACACCGUUCAUCCUGGUAGGAGAGGAGGACUGCUUCCUCUGCGCCGGAAAUGCCCCUGUUGUGUCCUUUGGUAGGAGCAGUCUUGCUGAGUCGGUCCUGUACGUCAUGGCGUACUACUACGCAUUUCGCAUGACGUAUCCAAAAUGUGUGUCAUCGGUUCUGUUAUUCCUUCAGACCGAGGU